rnacentral:rRNA from 1 species
GACGAACGCUGGCGGCGUGCCUAAUACAUGCAAGUAGAACGCUGAAGGAGGAGCUUGCUUCUCUGGAUGAGUUGCGAACGGGUGAGUAACGCGUAGGUAACCUGCCUGGUAGCGGGGGAUAACUAUUGGAAACGAUAGCUAAUACCGCAUAAGAGUAGAUGUCGCAUGACAUUUGCUUAAAAGGUGCAAUUGCAUCACUACCAGAUGGACCUGCGUUGUAUUAGCUAGUUGGUGAGGUAACGGCUCACCAAGGCAACGAUACAUAGCCGACCUGAGAGGGUGAUCGGCCACACUGGGACUGAGACACGGCCCAGACUCCUACGGGAGGCAGCAGUAGGGAAUCGUCGGCAAUGGACGGAAGUCUGACCGAGCAACGCCGCGUGAGUGAAGAAGGUUUUCGGAUCGUAAAGCUCUGUUGUAAGAGAAGAACGAGUGUGAGAGUGGAAAGUUCACACUGUGACGGUAUCUGACCAGAAAGGGACGGCUAACUACGUG